rnacentral:rRNA from 1 species
GAUGAACGCUAGCGGGAGGCCUAACACAUGCAAGCCGAGCGGUAUUUGUUCUUCGGAACAGAGAGAGCGGCGCACGGGUGCGGAACACGUGUGCAACCUGCCUUUAUCUGGGGGAUAGCCUUUCGAAAGGAAGAUUAAUACCCCAUAAUAUAUUGAGUGGCAUCACUUGAUAUUGAAAACUCCGGUGGAUAGAGAUGGGCACGCGCAAGAUUAGAUAGUUGGUGAGGUAACGGCUCACCAAGUCAAUGAUCUUUAGGGGGCCUGAGAGGGUGAUCCCCCACACUAGUACUGAGACACGGACCAGACUCCUACGGGAGGCAGCAGUGAGGAAUAUUGGACAAUGGGUUAGCGCCUGAUCCAGCCAUCCCGCGUGAAGGACGACGGCCCUAUGGGUUGUAAACUUCUUUUGUAUAGGGAUAAACCUACUCUCGUGAGAGUAGCUGAAGGUACUAUACGAAUAAGCACCGGCUAACUCCGUG